GAAUCUUGCGCAAUGGGCGAAAGCCUGACGCAGCGACGCCGUGUGGGUGAUGAAGGCCUUCGGGUCGUAAACUCCUGUCAGGUGGGACGAAAAGGCGGAGGUGAACAGCCUCCGCCGCCGACGGUCCCACCAGAGGAAGCCCCGGCUAACCCCGUGCCAGCAGCCGCGGUAAGACGGAGGGGGCAAGCGUUAUUCGGAAUUAUUGGGCGUAAAGGGCGCGUAGGCGGCCUGGCAAGUCGUGGGUGAAAUCCCUCGGCUCAACCGAGGAAUUGCCUUCGAUACUGCCAGGCUCGAGGCCGGGAGGGGGUGGCGGAAUUCCCAGUGUAGCGGUGAAAUGCGUAGAUAUUGGGAGGAACACCAGUGGCGAAGGCGGCCACCUGGACCGGUUCUGACGCUGAGGCGCGAAAGCGUGGGGAGCAAACAG
rnacentral:rRNA from 1 species